UACGAAGGGGGCUAGCGUUGCUCGGAAUCACUGGGCGUAAAGCGCACGUAGGCGGACAGUUUAGUCAGAGGUGAAAGCCCAGGGCUCAACCUUGGAAUUGCCUUUGAUACUGGCUGUCUUGAGUUCGGGAGAGGUGAGUGGAAUGCCGAGUGUAGAGGUGAAAUUCGUAGAUAUUCGGCGGAACACCAGUGGCGAAGGCG
rnacentral:rRNA from 1 species